rnacentral:rRNA from 1 species
CGGGGUGAGUAAUGCUUGGGAAUCUAGCUUAUGAGGGGGAUAACUACGGGAAACUGUAGCUAAUACCGCGUAGUAUCGGAAGAUGAAAGUGUGGGACCUUCGGGCCACAUGCCAUAGGAUGAGCCCAAGUGGGAUUAGGUAGUUGGUGAGGUAAAGGCUCACCAAGCCGACGAUCUCUAGCUGGUCUGAGAGGAUGACCAGCCACACUGGGACUGAGACACGGCCCAG